GAUUUUAACUGAAAAGUCAUCAAUAACAAAGUGGUAUAACUCAUCAAGAUCUAUAACUUUUAUUUGGGUCAUUUCUUCAUCCGACAAAGCGAUUUGUAAUAUUGUUCACAAAAUGUACAUAUCUCUUAUAUAGUUUAUAAACUAUAAGAGAAUGGAUAUAUGUAAAUUUUGUGAACAAUGUUACUAUUACUUUAUCGGAUGAAUAAAUGACCAAAACAAAAGUUAUAGAUAUUGAUGAGUUAUACAACUUUGUUGUUGAUGAUUUUUUCAGUCAAAAUC
rnacentral:pre_miRNA from 1 species